rnacentral:rRNA from 1 species
CAGUAGCCACGGUAAUACGUAGGGUGCGAGCGUUAAUCGGAAUUACUGGGCGUAAAGCGUGCGCAGGCGGUUAUAUAAGACAGAUGUGAAAUCCCCAGGCUCAACCUGAGACCUGCAUUUGUGACUGUAUAGCUAGAGUACGGUAGAGGGGGAUGGAAUUCCGCGUGUAGCAGUGAAAUGCGUAGAUAUGCGGAGGAACACCGAUGGCGAAGGCAAUCCCCUGGACCUGUACUGACGCUCAUGCACGAAAGCGUGGGGAGCAAACAGGAUUAGAUACCCCAGUAGUCCCUGUCUCUUAUAC